rnacentral:rRNA from 4 species
GACCGCGACCCCAGGUCAGGCGGGACUACCCGC